rnacentral:lncRNA from 1 species
UCGUUUUCGACGUGUGUGGUUUCUUUUUUGCCAGUUGUUUGUGUAAGUGCUCUUGAACCCUUCUCGUGUUGUAAGUGGGUUCAUUCUUAUUGUUAUUUUCCUUAGUUUGUAGGUUGAAAACGUUCGAUAAGUUCAAUCCGUUGCUUUUCUAGGUGAUGUUGGAGAGACGAUUAAUCCACCGACGACUUAGAAUUUUUGGUGAACUAUUAUUUUCUUGAAGGUGAGAAAUUGAUUUGAGUUUUAAUGUCGCAAUUCUGUGAUAGUAUGUUAAAAUUAGUUUUAUCGUUUGUUGUGAAUCGAGUUAGAAAAUCAUCUCAAAUAGUGCUUUUAAUUGAUGUGUUUAGGUUUCGAAAGCCUUGUGGGUAUUUUUGCAAAAAAAUCGAACAAGUUGUGUAACGAGAAACAUGAAAAACAGCGAACGAAAAAAGUCAAAAAAUUGCACAGUCGACGCCACACGGCCGUGUGCUGGACCAUGUGAGACACACGAUCUGGGCUAUUUGAGCUGUGCUCCAAGCCAUGUGGGCAAUACGGGCUGGCCAUUUAGGCCGUGUGAGCCCAAAAUUCUGAAUUUUUCCCUAGGGCCGUAAGUAUCGUUUGGAUCAAACGUAAGCCUACCGUAGGGUCG